rnacentral:ncRNA from 3 species
CUGAGAAACGGCUACCACAUCC